AACGCUGGCGGCGUGCCUAAUACAUGCAAGUCGAACGGCUUUUCUAUGGAAGCUUGCUUCCACUGAGAAGAUAGUGGCGAACGGGUGAGUAACACGUGGGUAACCUGCCCAUAAGAGGGGGAUAACAUCCGGAAACGGGUGCUAAUACCGCAUAGUUUCUUGAUCGCAUGAUCGGGAAAGGAAAGACGGCCUUUGUGCUGUCGCUUAUGGAUGGACCCGCGGCGUAUUAGUUAGUUGGUGAGGUAACGGCUCACCAAGACGAUGAUACGUAGCCGACCUGAGAGGGUGAUCGGCCACAUUGGGACUGAGACACGGCCCAAACUCCUACGGGAGGCAGCAGUAGGGAAUCUUCCGCAAUGGACGAAAGUCUGACGGAGCAACGCCGCGUGAGUGAAAGAAGGUUUUCGGAUCGUAAAACUCUGUUGUCAGAGAAGAACAAGUUGGAGAGUAACUGCUCCAGCCUUGACGGUAUCUGACCAGAAAGCCACGGCUAACUACGUGCCAGCCGCGGC
rnacentral:rRNA from 1 species